GACGAACCGUGCGAACGUUAUUCGGAAUCACUGGGCUUAAAGCGCGUGUAGGCGGCUUGUUAAGUCUGUCGUGAAAUCUCCCGGCUCAACCGGGAUAGGUCGACGGAUACUGGCAGGCUUGAGGGGAGCAGAGGAAGGUGGAAUUCCCGGUGUAGUGGUGAAAUGCGUAGAUAUCGGGAGGAACACCAGUGGCGAAGGCGGCCUUCUGGGCUCAACCUGACGCUGAUACGCGAAAGCGUGGGGAGCGAACCGG
rnacentral:rRNA from 1 species